GACGAACGCUGGCGGCGUGCCUAAUACAUGCAAGUUGAGCGCUGAAGGUUGGUACUUGUACCAACUGGAUGAGCAGCGAACGGGUGAGUAACGCGUGGGGAAUCUGCCUUUGAGCGGGGGACAACAUUUGGAAACGAAUGCUAAUACCGCAUAAAAACUUUAAACACAAGUUUUAAGUUUGAAAGAUGCAAUUGCAUCACUCAAAGAUGAUCCCGCGUUGUAUUAGCUAGUUGGUGAGGUAAAGGCUCACCAAGGCGAUGAUACAUAGCCGACCUGAGAGGGUGAUCGGCCACAUUGGGACUGAGACACGGCACAAACUCCUACGGGAGGCAGCAGUAGGGAAUCUUCGGCAAUGGACGAAAGUCUGACCGAGCAACGCCGCGUGAGUGAAGAAGGUUGUCGGAUCGUAAAACUCUGUUGGUAGAGAAGAACGUUGGUGAGAGUGGAAAGCUCAUCAAGUGACGGUAACUACCCAGAAAGGGACGGCUAACUACGUG
rnacentral:rRNA from 1 species